rnacentral:rRNA from 1 species
UGCNGUCGANCGGUAACGCGGGGCAACCUGGCGACGAGUGGCGAACGGGUGAGUAAUAUAUCGGAACGUGCCCAGUCGUGGGGGAUAACUGCUCGAAAGAGCAGCUAAUACCGCAUACGACCUGAGGGUGAAAGCGGGGGAUCUUCGGACCUCGCGCGAUUGGAGCGGCCGAUAUCAGAUUAGGUAGUUGGUGGGGUAAAGGCCUACCAAGCCGACGAUCUGUAGCUGGUCUGAGAGGACGACCAGCCACACUGGGACUGAGACACGGCCCAGACUCCUACGGGAGGCAGCAGUGGGGAAUUUUGGACAAUGGGGGCAACCCUGAUCCAGCCAUGCCGCGUGCGGGAAGAAGGCCUUCGGGUUGUAAACCGCUUUUGUCAGGGAAGAAAUCCUUUGGGCUAAUAACUCGGAGGGAUGACGGUACCUGAAGAAUAAGCACCGGCUAACUACGUGCCAGCAGCCGCGGUAAUACGUAGGGUGCAAGCGUUAAUCGGAAUUACUGGGCGUAAAGCGUGCGCAGGCGGUUAUGCAAGACAGAUGUGAAAUCCCCGGGCUCAACCUGGGAACUGCAUUUGUGACUGCACGGCUAGAGUACGGUAGAGGGGGAUGGAAUUCCGCGUGUAGCAGUGAAAUGCGUAGAUAUGCGGAGGAACACCGAUGGCGAAGGCAAUCCCCUGGACCUGUACUGGCGCUCAUGCACGAAAGCGUGNGGAGCNNNNNGGAUUAGAUACCCUGGUAGUCCACGCCCUAAACGAUGUCAACUGGUUGUUGGGAGGGUUUCUUCUCAGUAACGUANCUNACGCGUGAAGUUGACCGCCUGGGGNGUANNGCCGCNAGGUUGAAACUCAAAGGAAUUGANNGGACCNGCA